ACACUCGCCCCCUCCCGAAACCCUAACCUACGAAAUGGACGGCGACGACGGCCACCUCGUCUUCGACUUCGAGAAAUUCCUGGACGCCGACGCCGCCGCCCCCGCCCCCGCCGGAUCCGGUUCCGCUGCCUCCGCCUUGCCGCCUUCCGACGCCCCCGGCCCCGCCGCGGCCGGGCCGCACCGUGGGCAAGGCCGCCGCAGCGGCACCGUUCGGCAGACCGUGUGCCGGCACUGGCUGCGGGGCCUGUGCAUGAAGGGCGACUCCUGCGACUUCCUCCACCAGUACGACCUCAAGCGCAUGCCCGUCUGCCACUUCUUCAGCGCGUUCGGCUACUGCCGCGAGGAGGACUGCUCCUACAAGCACAUCACCGAGGACUUGCCGCCGGAGUGCAGCAUGUAUAACAUGGGGUUUUGCCCUAAUGGCCCUAGUUGCAAGCACAGGCAUGUUAGGAAACCUGGGCCCCCGCCUCCUCCUGAGGAAGUCGUCAAGAAGCUUCUACAGAUGGAAUCCUUGCACUAUGGCUCAUCAAGCGGAACAAAUCUGCCAAGAGAUAACAAAAAUAGUCAGCAGGAGAAACCUCAAGUCCAACCUGGCUCGGUGUUAAAGAGUCGAAAAUUGGCUGCAAAAGCUACUCCUGUAGUGAAACAACCUGCUGCACAUCCUGUUCAGACAGCAAAUCCACAGCAUGUACCACCACCAAACACACUACAGCAGCAACAACAAAAUGUUCAGGUGCAGGUUGUCCUUAAUGGUUCAUCUGACCAAGCUACUGUAACUGCAAGCCCACCUCCACAGGGGCAAUCAAGGUACUCUGUUGUUAAAAGUUGCAACCAGGAGGAUCUGGGAAUAUCAGUUCAGCAGGGUAUUUGGGCCUCCCAAAAAGGAGUAAUGGUGUCAUUUUAAUAUUUUCCAUCUCUAGUAGGACUUGACAUUUCCAGGGUUGUGCAAAGGUUACUUCUAAAUUUUGGUGGUCGAGUUGGAAAUAUCAAGUUCAUUAUUGUCAGAACUUCUUUCCAGUGGCUCAAGGUAUUUGACUUGUUAUCCAAACUCAUUUUCACUUAUCAUCAUUUUACAUUAUUUCUUCCCAGUAACAAAUAGUACUGCACUUUCUCGCUGAUGGAAUGUAGGAUUUGGUAGCAUAAAUUAGACAACAUAAGGUUAUACGUUCACACCACACUUAGCUGCAUGCUAAAUUGCGAAUACUUGUUAAUUGCAGAGAAAUACAGUGAGUUUCUGUACCAUUCCAUGCUUAGCAUAAUAUCUAACAUCAGAUCUUCUGUUGGAGUUGUACCUUAAUUAUAUUAGUAUUUUAUGCUGUUGAGAAUAGAGCAUAGAAAUAACUUUGUUUGGUUACUAAUGGAGUUAAUUAAUGCCGAUCUUGAUUGGCAAGCGUGAGCCAUUUCUUCCUUUUUUUUGAUGGUAUCAUGACUUCAUGAAUCGUUUAUCAAUAUGUUCUACCUCAGAUUAGUUACUCCCUUCACCCACUUUUAUAGAGCAUAUUUUCGUUGAGCGCAUCAACCAGGGAAGAGAUCACCAAGCUGAUUUGCUCCCAAAAAGGUGAUUCGUAGGCGCAUUUGAGAAUCCCUCACACAUCGUACGGGCCCUUAGCUCUUAAUAAUUGAUCUGCAACCUUCUAAGCUCUGGCCUUGCUUCACUUGAACGGUGAUGCCACGUGCGUCAUACCUGUUUAUGAUAGAGAUGAGAUUUGAGUUGGAUUCUUGAGGAACUCUUUUGAGAUGUUGCAAGAAUUUAAGUUCCUUUUUUCUAGUCAACUACCCCCCUUGAUAGUACUGCAAUACAUACGUAGAUACACCAACAGCAAACCUAUGGCAACCAAAGAGUGAAAAAAAAGCAAACUACAAGAAAAGUAAAUUAAGGUUGGGGCGCAUGGGUUGGUGAUUUCCAUGCAGUCCUAUCAAGUGCCAAAUCUGUAGGUACACAAUUUAACAAAUACAUAUGAUUCAAAUAAAAUUCGCAAAUCUAGUCUUUAGGGGUGCCUUCUCUUUUCUCAUUUUUGGGGGUUCCACCAUUGACAUCUGUCCAACAAGCAUAGGGAAGAAAAUCAGAUAUAAAUUUGUCAGUCUCUUAUUUGCCUUGUUAUUAAUCAACCAAAUCCAUUAAUGGUUCUAUAUGUACCUUCAAUGCUUGCCACUAGGCCUGAGCGUUCAGUUAAACUGAACCGAUCAGUUGGUUCCUCGGUUCAGUGGGAAAUGACCGAGGGAAAAUCAAUUACCGAUGGUUUGGUUCACUGAAGGUUUGGUUCAGUCCUUGGUUAAGACCAAACAGGUUCGGUUCAGUACUUCAGUCCUUGGUUAAGACCAAACAGAAUCGAGGUUACGUGAGUAACAGCAGCAAAUGCCAACCGAUGCAUUCGAUUCCGAAAAAUCAGACAACAUUUCUUGAAUCUCCAUCAUUUAGAACCGGAAAAGAAACAGAUAACAAAUUUUAGCGGGAAUUCUUCCACCGCCGCCACCACAGCCCGUUAGGGUGGACAACUCGAUGGCGGUGCACAACACAUGAGAGGCGAGGGGGAGUAGGAAGAGGAAGGAGAUGGCGCCUGUAGCUGGCUGCUACUGGCGGGAGAAUAGACGUGGCAGCUAGGUUUAUGGAGGCGAGGCAGGCGGAUGGGGAAUUGAUGGCGUGACAAGCAUGACGAGGCUGCUCAUGCGACUUGAGAAUGGAGCGGGUGGGAAUCAUGAGGGCUCAAAGAGUUAGGUAAAUGGCUGGUCUUUUCUAAUUAUUCUUACCCAUGUUCGGUUAGUUAGGUCAGUUUGGGGUACACGAGGCCUAAGACCGAAUCAGCCGAAGUAACUUCGGUUUUUGAGAAUCAGUGACAGAAUUUCCAACCGAUAUAAGCGGUUUUGGUUUAUUCUGUGUCGGUCGGUCCCGGUUCUUUUGGUUCAGGAGUAAUGUUAUCGGUUUAUAUGCCCAGUCCUACUUGCCACCCACACCUAUAACAUGGAUCUCCGCCAUGAUUUUUGAGUCGCCGAGUCAAGUCAAGUCGCUGAGUAAUUGUACAAGUAGUUUAAAAAUAAAAUUAUGCCUAUUCGGUUGGAUACAUCAAAUAAUAACAUUUUCAAGAUUUGUGCAAAGAUUAUUUCUGUUUUUGGUGGCUACAUUUGUGGUUGGGUUUGGACUUUUGGAGGUAUGCUCAGAGAAGUCCAAUAUGGCCAGAACUUCUCCAGGCUUAAGGUACUUUAAAUUUAACUUCUUAGCUACAUUUCUGUUUUUGGAGUAUACUCAUUUUCAUUUAUCAUCAUUUCACAUUAUUUCUUUCCAGUGACAAGUAGUACUAUUGCUCAAUUUGAUAUGCAUUUACAUAGCAGGUUAGACAACAUAAGGUUGUACAUUCACACCAAUACUGCAUGCUAAUAAUUGCUAAUUCUGCUUAAUCGACAAAUAAACUUUGGUGAGUUUCUUUACCAUUCCAUUCUCUUAGCAUAAUAUAAUAUUAAAUGACAGAUCUUAUGCUAGAGACAUUUCUACUAAUUUAUACUUGCUUUGCCUUAAAGUUGAAAUUAACUAGGCUGAAUUCACAAAGAAAUCAAGAUAUAGGAGCCAAUGCUGGAACUUUGCCGGAUAUUUAGGCUUACUGUGGAUGGUUUUCAUAGGAACUUUGGGCAAAAGAAUUCAACAUUCCCUAUGGUAGUAAGGCAGUUAGGAGAGUAGGGAAACUAAGUAAAUGUUACAAUCGCCGUCUGGGAGUUUAAUAAGGAAAAUUGAGGUAAUCUUAUACUUGCAGUCUGAAUGCAUGCUAGCUUUGAAAAAAAAUACAUGCUAGCUUAAUAUCUUGGGCCUAUUUCAUAAAUAAUCUUCCUCUGUGAGUUCAUAUUGACUGGGUAUGAACACUGAAACAACAAUAUACACAACUAGAGUAGAAGCAUCCAGGUCAGCUAAUUGAUGUAAGCUUAUACGACUCUGGAAUAUUCACUACAUUAAUGAAUACCUCAGAACUGGAAGAAUCUACUUUAUUGUUUCUAACCAUUUGUUACUUCAUUUGCGACAAUUUGUGGCUAUGAAUUGAAAUUCUGGAUUUUUUUUUUCUAGGAUGCGCUGCUCGCUGAUGAGGCACUGGAAGUUGGUGCUGAUGAAGGCGUUAUGCUAUGUGAGGAGGAGCGAAGUGAAGAGAAGUAUGAGAAGUUUUGUCGAGCUAACGAAGGAAUCAGAAACAUGAUGGUUUCUUUGUUAAUGGUGAAUGCAGCCACAUAUUUCCUAGCGAUUUCAGGGGCCUCUGCCCAAUAGUCGUAUAAUUCAUGAGAAUAUACUUGCAUGUACUAUCUGCAUCCACCGCAGCACGGGUCACCUGCUGCUGUUUUGCACCCGCUGUUGGCAUCCCGCCUACGAGUGGACACAUGAGCUCUCAUUCUGCGAUGAUGGUGUUUGCAAAUUUCAACCUCAAUGGAUCAAGAGUCAUGGUCCCUGCUCCCUAAUGCAUCGCUGAUAACCUUCAUGUCAUUUCUUGCUGGUUUGUUCAUGAUGGAUGGUUAGAAAAUUGUAGCCCAGUAUUGUCAUGUAACUCGAGUUAACCAGUUUCUUGCUGGUCUAUAUGACUGCAUGUAUGCAGUGUAGUCUACAGGCAUGUAGCGAACGUGAUGGUGCAUUGAGAAACUAUACAAAUAUACGGGCUUGAAUUCAGAACUAUGUGAACUAUACUGAUAGAGUUUGGAUGAUGUUGUUUUAAUAGUACUUAUGUUC